rnacentral:rRNA from 1 species
AUUGAACGCUGGCGGCAGGCCUAACACAUGCAAGUCGAACGAGUGGCGGACGGGUGAGUAAUGUCUGGGACACUGCCUGAUGGAGGGGGAUAACUACUGGAAACGGUAGCUAAUACCGCAUACCAUCAGAUGUGCCCAGAUGGGCUUGGCUUGUUGGUGGGGUAACGGCUCACCAGGGCGACGAUCCCUAGCUGGUCUGAGAGGAUGACCAGCCACACUGGAACUGAGACACGGUCAAGACUCCUACGGGAGGAAGAAGUGGGGAAUAUUGCACAAUGGGCGCAAGCCUGAUGCAGACAGGCCGCGGGUAUGAAGAAGGCCUUCGGGUGGUAAAGUACUUUCAGAGGGGAGGCGUUACCCGCAGAAGAAGCACCGGCUAACUCCGUGCCAGCAGCCGCGGUAAUUC